CUGUGUCAGCUUCUUCUGCAGGACUUGGACAUAUUUCUCAACCUUUCUGUGGCUCAGUUUCCUUGCCUUAAAAGUGAUGAUAACAAUAGCACCUACCUCAUAGGGCUGUUGUGAGAGCUAAAUGAGUUAAUACGUGUAAAACACUUCAGAGCCAGGCACCUUGUAAGUUCUAUAAAAAUGUUGGCUUUCAUGAUUAAGUCCUCACAAUCCCAUCUAUAGGUAUUAUGAGUCCCAUUUCAUAGACGAGAAAACAGAGGCUGAGAGAGGUUAGUUAAUAAACUACCUGCAGCCUAAUCUCAAGCUAAAGAUUUUGAGAUGGGGAAAUUAUCCUGGACUACCUGAAUGGGCCCAGUGUAAUCACAAGGGUCCUUCUGAAAAGGGAGAUAGGAGA
rnacentral:lncRNA from 1 species